rnacentral:rRNA from 1 species
UACGUAGGGGGCAAGCGUUGUCCGGAUUUAUUGGGCGUAAAGCGCGCGCAGGCGGUUCUUUAAGUCUGGUGUCUAAGUGCGGGGCUCAACCCCGUGAUGCACUGGAAACUGGGGAACUUGAGUGCAGAAGAGGAGAGCGGAAUUCCACGUGUAGCGGUGAAAUGCGUAGAGAUGUGGAGGAACACCAGUGGCGAAGGCGGCCCGCUGGGCAGUGGCUGACGCUGAGGCGCGACAGCGUGGGGAGCAAACAGG